rfam:Picea glauca, whole genome shotgun sequence.
GCAACGGUGUUUUUAGACACCACCCUCUCUUUCAAAAAAUUUAUC